GGAGGGUUCGCAUAGUGGUCUAGUGCGCACGCUUGGAAAGCGUGUGUGUCGCAAGGCACCGAGGGUUCGAAUCCCUCACCCUCCG
rfam:Candidatus Kaiserbacteria bacterium RIFCSPHIGHO2_02_FTLL_55_25 rifcsphigho2_02_scaffold_2305, whole genome shotgun sequence.